AUACUGACAGAGGAUUCGAAGCCAAAUUCGAUGAUUUCUUUGAUACGCGAUAUGGUUUUGAUGGUGCCCACGAAAUAGUGAUGUACUUUGCCUUUGCCAGUCGACCCUCGGUAUAUAUUGUCAGGGUACGGGAAUGCACAUCAAAUUUCCAUGCGCUGAAUGUACGGCACAGGGCAGAAAUUUCAGCGGAAGCGUGUAAUCUUCCAGUGCCAGGCGGCGAUGAGAAAGGACAGACGGUGAGAAUAAGCAUGGGAAACAAGGAGCUGUUUAUUACAUUCAACGUAUAGAACAGUCACUGACACGGUUCCGAUGUGCACGCCGACGCACGUAUUUUUCGCUCAAGCGGUACUCAGUAGCAUACGGGAGCACGGCGUUCUGGUGAGCCGGGCACAUCUUAGCACACCCGCGUCUGUCUCCGUGGCAAGGGGCUUAAACGAGUUAUCAGGUAGCACCAGCUGGAGCUGGAACGGGAUGCAUCACUAGAGACCCUGGAGCUAAAACGGGAUGCACCAACGACCUUAGAAGAACACCUUCGACAACACUUGAAACAUUUGUGUCUCCUGGAAAUGAAUAUGCUUUUACAACUAUAAGAAUGAACUGAUUUGUUAGAUUAGUAACUGACUUGGAACGAUUGUUAAGUUAUUAU